rnacentral:lncRNA from 1 species
GUCUGUACCAAACAUUGUCAGUGUUCCAGCCAUGCUGGUAAAUGUUUAACAAUGAGCUCUCAAAAAGAAAACCCCGAAUUAUGGCACUUGCCAAUUUCCAUGGUGUAAAUACUCCCACAUGGCUGACAUCAAACUAAAUUAAUGGUUGUCUCCACACAUGUAGCUGGGAAGCAAUGCUCACACCCCAGAGGGAGCUGGCCCCGAACACCCCCCUGUGCCCUCUUGCCUGACCCGGUUUGGACACCAGCUGCCUGGCGGCCAGUGCUGGGGCGUUUUGUCCGGUGCUGCCCUCAGAAGGCACUCUGCCUGAGAGUACGCAAAGCCAGCAGUGCCUGGGAGUUUACAGCCCCCAGGGGGAUCUUGUGGGUACAAAUACUGCAACUGUUGGCUCUGAUUGGCUGGCUCUGGGAUGUGACUUCCUCCCUAGAGGCUGAGCCAAAGGCAUCUUCAGCUGACUUUGCUUGAAGCCUCACCUUGGCUUGGCUUCCUGCCUUUUUUCCUCUCAGUUCCUCUUCCACCUGUCUUUGCAGAUAACUUUCCUGGUAACUUCCUUUCACACGCAACCUUGUCUCAGGGUCUACUUCUAGGGAACCCACGUAAGGCUGCAUCUCUAGAUAUCUUUUUCCCUUAAAUGCCCUGGGGUUUGGGAGAGUUUCCCACUCAAUAAUACUCAGUAAGCUUUCCCAUUAACCCCGCUAUAAGCUUUUCUUGGUUUCCUCUGUGUCUGUGCCCCAAGGUGUGUCUGUCGUGGGGGGAUGAGUCAUGGAGCAAAGUCCUCCCCACUGACUCAGCAAUGCCAUUUCCUGCCCACAACCUUCUAGAACUCUUGCACUUUGACACAAUGGGGACCAGCCCACCCCUGAUUCACCAGCUCAGUUUUCUGUCACAUCCUGUACUUUCCCUGAGGAUUUUUCUGUUCUCCUUCUGACCAGAGUCAACGCCAACCAACCCACAAGCAGCAGAGAACAGAAACGUGGCCAGAUGGUCUCCAAUACGGAUCAAAAACAUAAAGAGGCAAACGUGGAGGGGCGGAAGGUCCUUGGCCCUUUUCUCUUGAAAUUGAGUUCGCUGUGUUGAAAUGUCCAUCGUGUCUGCAUCCCCUUCCUGGUUUUCCCCAAAGAGGCCGUGGCGGGGGAACAGGUGGCGUUCCAUGUGGUGGCAACAUGAAGGGAUCACUCGCCAGCGAGCAUAAUCGCUCUGGAAACAUUCGGAAUACUCAUAUGUUCUGUACUUUUCCCCUGAGUCAAUAAGGUAGAAAUGCAUCAGGAGAAAGUCAAAGGUUUCUGUCAAAAUCCAGACCACAGGGAGAAAAUGACGAGUUGAUGGGGCUCACCCUGUGAUCAAUUUCUCCGUGAACCUGACAGGGAAGUCUUCUUAGAGGGCACCUCAGCGUCUGAAGUUGGCUUUCACAAUGAGCAGAAGGUGAAAAGCUGCCAAACAACAGCCACUUUCAAAAUCCAGUGAAAACAGAACUAAGCCAACAAAGGAAUAACAAGGUCCCAGGUUGCAAAACAAAACAAGUUGGGAAAACUUGUCCAAGAGCUGUACUGAACUCUUGCAUGGGCGCUGACGUACACAAAUCAUCCUCAUCACCUCUGAAACGAGGCAGCUCUAAAUUACUUCUUGAAUUCCAUAUGGUUAAUCUGCAGGCACAGGAACAUGCUUUAGGGUGAAAUUUAGUUGUUGUUGUUUUCACUGGGCUUGCAAUAACAUAUUGUAAAUGACUAAGGCUAGAUGACACUUUCACACCAGUCUUGAAAUCAUCCCAGUGAUCUUGACCCAAUGCCAGAUGAGGAUCUUGGUGCAGAUAAAGCGACUGUGCUUCUUCUUCCUGCAGAAUUAACAUUAACAAUCCUGCACAUUAACAAUCUAGAACUAUGUUAGCCAGGGUAUUUGAGGCAGAAUUCUGAACUGAAAUUGGUCGUCUCCUAGCACAAUGAUUUUUAAAUACAAAACAAGCAAACACACAAAAAGAAAAAAAGAAACAACAAGAAAUUUUAAAAUGUCGUAUCUAUCUUAUGAAAGCCAAAAUGAAAGAUUGGCAACCUUUCCUGAAUAUGGGCAUUGUCCACAUCUAAUCUAGAUGAUGUGGGUCCAGUUUUCUCUUUCUUCAAUCAUCUGAUGUUUUUACAUUCAAAUUGGUAGGAAAAGGAUGCUUUCCAGUUUAAUUUUCUUUAAAAUAAUUUCGCAGAUUUCUGAAUCCAUAUGCAAUUUUUAAGAGCACAGACUUUGGACUCAAAAAUGAGUUUAAAUUCUCAGUCUGCCACUUACAAGAUGAGUAAGGUGAAAAACCCCUUCACCUCUGUAAGCCUCAGGUGAGUAUCUUAUAAGGUUGCUGGAGAGGUUACGAGACACAAGGCAUAGAAAAGGGCUUCCUGUGUUAUAGUCUGCCCAUAGAGCAAGCACGUCUUUCUUUCUUUCUUUUCUUUCUUUCUUUUCUUCCUUCUUUCUUUUUUUUUUUUUUCAUUGAGAUAGGGCCUCACUCUGUCACCCAGGCUGCAGUGGAAUGGUGCCAUCUCGGCUCACUGCAACCUCCACCUCCUGGGUUCAAGCCAUUCUCAUGCCUGCCUUCUGAGUAGCUAGGAUUACAGGCACCUGCCACCAUGCCUGGCUAAGGUUUGUAUUUUUAGCAGAGAUGGGGUUUCAACAUGUUGACCAGGCUGGCCUUGAACUCCUGACCUCAGGUGAUCUGCCCACCUCAGCCUCCCAAACUGCUGGGGUGACAGGUGUGAGCCAACGUGCCUGGCCCAAUUAUGAUUAUUUCUGUUUUCUUAGUUUGUCCCUUACUUGAAACAGAUUAGUUAUUUACAACAUGGAGUUUGUGUCUCUGUAACUUUGUAAUCAUGCAAAAUAAUUGUACAUGAUCCACAUAUACACACACACACCACACACACACACAUAUCCUUAGAAGAAUAAUUUUCUCCAAAUUGAACUGUAAGGGUCUGUGUGAUUUGGGCAGAGAUAGUCGCUGCUGCUUUCCCAGCUAAUAAAGUUGUCCGAAUCUGUUUACUCUCAAAUUUAUAGAAAGAGCUUCAUUAGCAGCCUCCACGGAUGACACAGCCACCACAUGGCACGCAGAGUUAGUCUGAGGAUAAAUCUUGGUUUGCCCAGUUUUGCAGAGUGAUUCGUUUUUAAUGAAUUAUGCACACAGAUCAUAGGCUCUGCUCAAAGCCUCAUUUACUCUGGAAAUUCCUGAAAUUACUAUUCAUUUUGCUGAGUUCUUUUUUUACCCUCUUGAAAGCUCACAAAAACCCUCUGAAAAAGAAAAGCAUCAGCAUACAUAUUGUUGUAGAUUAGAAAACACAAAUGAUUUGAUAGAAAGCAGGUUUGGGGUGAAAUAAUCAUAAUAGUGAAUCAGCUCUCUGACUUUUUUUGAUGCUAUGGAAACCCUGGCAGUGAAGAAACUUUGAUUAAAUAGAUUCACAAUAGAUUCAAGCGUACUCAAGGGCUGGGGUCUUAACAUCUCUGGAGUGGCUCACAGUGCUGAGCACAUGGCAGACGCCCAAUCAAUUCGUGCAAACAAAUGAACAGAAUCAGAUUUCCAAGGAGUUCUUCAGGAAGUCAAGUAAUGCAUUGACCCUUUCCUUCAGCAUUACAUCCACGGAGCCUGCCUGUCUAAAUGAUUCAGAUCCGCUCUGCAACUCUAUGCAGGAGAAACACAUUUUCCUUUUCUGGUGGAUCAGACAACAGCAGGACUUCUGGAUUAUGUCUUCUGCAUAGGUUGCAGCAGGGAAACAUAGCAUUACGCGUGUAGACAGGGCAGGUUUAAUGCUAGGCAACGUUCUUAAGGGAGAUCAGAAAAGCAACUAGCAUGCCAGGUCUACUGUCCCGGCCCCCAAGGCUCAGCACAGAUAUUUGGAAAACCAGGAGUUGAGCAUUUGACUGGAAAAUAAAAACAACAUAGACUCGUGCAUUUGAUCAGUGAACUUGGAGCGCACACCAUGGAUUAGGCACAGCUGGGCACCGAGGAGACAUCACCUGGCUUAUAAGUCAUCUGUGCCCUCUGGGGACUGACAGUCCAGCUGGGAAUGAGGAUCAGGAGGUCAGAAAUUAAGUAAAGAGCAAAGAAGAAUGCAACAUGAGUAAACGCAAAAAUAAAAAAUAAAAACAAACAAAACAAGUUGGCCCUGACCAUCAGGCAGUAUGGUAUGGAGAAGACCACGGGCUUGUGUCUAUCAGUCAGACCUGCUUUGAGUCUUGGCUCCACCAUAAACCAGAUGAGUUAAGUUUCAUACCCUCUCUAAACGGUCGCCUCAGCUAUACAACAGGCUCAAUGAUAUUCACCCCACAAGAUUGCUAUAAGAAGGAAAUGGUAUGACCUUGGGGCAAGAAGAGGUACCAUUGUCCCCACUGUCCACAGAUGGUGACAUUUGUUCAGGACAACCUGGCCAUUAAGGAGGAGAACUCUAUGAGAACAAGGUCUGCGUCCCUAGAUGGCAUUCAUACAGUGGUGGUCUUUACACUGCUGGUGCUUUGAGAGGAAGAAGGGCAGUGACACCAACCGGACUACGGUCAGGGUAUUCUUCCCUGCCACGAACUCACAUUAAAGAUUUAAAACCCACUGGCCAAGGUGGCUCAUCACUGUAAUCCCAGCACUUUGGGAAGCCAAGGUAGGGGGAUUACUUGAAGCCAGGAGUUUGAGACCAGUCUGGGCAACACAGCAAGAGCCUAUCUCUACAAAAAAUUUAAAAAAUUAGCCAAGUGUGGUGGGGUACCCCUGUAGUCCCAGCUACUUGGGAAGCUGCAGUGGGAGGAUUCAGUGAGCCCAGGAGGUUAAGGUUUCAGUGUGCGGUGAUUGUGCCGCUGCACUCCAGCCUAGGUGACAGAGCGAGACCCUGUCUAAAAAUAAAUAAAUAAAAAAUAAAUAAAAUAAAAAUUGAAAUCCCAGUUUCACUAAACAAUGUCUUUGAUAAGGAAUAAGCAGGCCAGGCAUGGUGGCUCACCUCUAUAAUCCCAGCACUUUGGGAGGCCGAGGCAGGUGGAUCUCUUAAGCCCAGGAGUUCGAGACCAGCCUGGGCAACAUGGGGGGCCCUGUCCUUACUAAUAAUGCAAAAAAAAAAAAAAAAAAAAAUAGAGGGUGUGGUGGUGUGCACCUGUGUUUUCAGCUACUCAGGAGGCUGAGGUGGGAGAAUCACCCGAGCCCAGGAGGCUGAGGCUGCAGUGAGCUGUGACUGCACCACUGCACUCCAGCUUGGGUGACAGAGGAAGACUCUGUCUCAAACAAAGUCUUUCUUUAUAAGACUGUUUAUUAUUUAUCAACAGUGUUAGUUUUAUUCAAUCAUCCUUGGGUAUAUGUCUUUUUCAUAGUCUAUGUGAUAAACGGAAAGCUCAUAUGACACUUUGGCUGUGUGCUGAAGCACAGUGGCUGCGUCAAGGAAAAGUCAUUGUGAAGUUGUCUGAGUCCUAGACUCAACAAGCCUUUUUUAAAAAAAGAACGGAACAUCAUUUUUACUUGCAACAACACUCGACAGACAAAUCAUGGUUAUUCAGGCUUAGGUAGGUGGCAGACACUUUCUCGAAAAUGAACAAAGUGAGCCUGUCACUUUCAAGGAAAACAAUAGACAACUGGUUGCCAAUGAUAAAAUUUGAACAUUCAAGUAAAAAUGAGAAUGUUAAAAAACGUGUAUUUGCCAUGGCAAGCUUAACAGAUUCCCAGUUCUCAAAGACUUUUCCAGUGAGAUUAGUGGCAAUAAUUCAUGAAUGUGAUUUUUAAAAUAUUGUAUUGUCAAAUAUGCCAACAUUUGUAGGACUUUAAUAGCUAAGCAAACCAAUAUUUUCCAGAUGACCAGCGCAUGAUGUGACAAAACCAUCCUCUGGUAAAAGAUCCAUUUAGAGUGCAGAUGGGCCAGCGAAUUCUAAUGAAAGAGAAGAUGAAGUGUUCAUUGAUGUGGUUUCAGAUUUCCACAUUGCCGCUCACCUUUAAGAAACUGCCACUUGUUGAGUUUUGGUCUAGUAUCAAGAAGAACAGCCACAAUUAUCUGGAAAAGUCUAUCACAAUACUCAUCCCUUUGCCAAUUACAUAUCUGCAUGAGCUUGAUUUUCUUCAUGUACAUCAAUCAAAAUCUAUUGCAACAGACUGAAGUCAGAGGUGAAAAGCCUCCCUCUUCCCAAUGCUACCUGCCAGCUACGCUUCUCGGCAGAUGUUUCUGGACUUCAGUGGCCUCAUUUGCAAGCUGAGAGGGCUGAACAGAUGAACCCUACACUCUUCUGUCUGAAGUUUCUGUGCUCCCAAAUGUCUUCAUUUUAAAGAGGAGGUGGGGAAGAGAUGGAAACUUCUAAACUAAGUGCCUCGCCCAGACAGCUCUCCUCAAAGAAGGGGAGCAACCCCAACCCCUCCCCAGCAGUGAGGGUCCUGAACCCACCCUUGGCCCAUCACCCACCCCCAGCCCACAGCAAGGGUCCAUCCCUGCCUCCCUUAAGAUGGGGAAAUGGGUCUCUUGGGCUGCCAGUAUGUGAGCCUGCUCUCCCCAGAAGGCAUAAUCCCUAGUAGGUGAGAUUGUUGAGAAUAACGCUGGGGGGUCCUCUAGCCCGGAAACCCUGCAAGCUGACAUGGGGCCUUCUCAAUCCCCGUUCCCACCACACAGAGCUGCAUUCCUGGAAAAUGACACGGCGCCAAGAGGUUUUUAAUAGAAAUGACCCUGCUGAUCAUCCCAGCCACCCUGUGAGUACACACAGAGUAUCAGGAAAACCUUGUUUUUCAAAUGAAGACACUGAGGCUGGAAGCCACGCAGUGACUUGUCUGGGCUCUGGCCCAGCAGAGCCUCACAUGCAAAUCUCAGGAUCCUAAACACCAUUUUCAUUGCUUUCUUUCCCCAAAAUGUUUGUGGUCUCUUUUGUGUCAGGUAAAGCACUAGUCACUUUCUACAAAGCCUUGCACGUUUUAUGUUGGAUUAUUCUGCUAUUUUGGCAAAUAAUGUGAAAGUGUUUAAGCACUUUUAUGUCAAACCUAAUUUCCUUUCAACAUCAUGUGAUAAUACCAGAAGUUGGCAGGGGAAAUUUUGUUGUUUUUCUCUUAUUUUUAAGUUAAAUAUUAAUGAUAAAAAAGAACCAUCAAUAAGAGCCCCUUGCAGUCCCUGAGCUCUUCACAUCCUGGUGACUAUUUUUACUGGGAAGAUGCUUUUAUUUCUGACUCUGCAUGGUAACUGGGAUGACAUCAAUUAUUUGUUUGUUACCUCCCAAAUUAUCAAGGAGCCGAUGAUCUAAUGAUGAUGAUCAAUGACACAGGUGAUAGAUGAUGUCACAAUCUGAACACCUGCCGGGUGCCACCCAGCACCUUUCCUGCAUCGCCUCCCAUAUCCUCUGAGGACCCAAGAUCCACUUUAGUAUUUGCCACAUAGUAAAUGCUCAGAAAAUACCAGCGCAGUCACUCUUCUCUGGAGUCCAAUCUUCCCUGAACAGGUGCUCCUGCGCCCAUUUUAUAGGUGAGCAAACCGAGGAUAGAAAGUUUACAUCACUCCCUCAGGAUCCUGCAGCCAGUAUUUAAAUGCGAGGACAUGUUCUUUCUUCUACCUAUUGCUUGUGAAGCUAGGAAGGAGAUGGGGGUGAGGAAGGAGCAGAGCCCGAGGAAGGUGAAAAUACCAGAAGAAAAAUGGAAGGUGGAGGCCGGGCACAGUGGCUCACACCUGUAAUCCCAGCACUUUGGGGGGCUGAGUCGGGUGGAUCGCCUAAGAUCAGGAGUUCAAGACCAGCCUGGCUAACUGGGUGAAACCUUGUCUCUACCAAAAAUACAAAAAUUAGCCAAGUAUGGUAGUGCACACCUGUAAUUCCAGCUACUGGGGAAGCUGAGGCAGAAGAAUUGCUUGAACCUGGUAUGUGGAGACUGCAGUGAGCCAAGAUUGUGCCAUUGCACCCCAGCACUCCAGCCUGGGCAGCAGAGCAAGACCUCAUCUCAAAAAAAAAAAAAAAAAAGAAAGAAAGAAGAAUGGAAAGUGGAGAACAGGUGGUCUUAACAAGUUGUCCAGAGGAGGAGGAAAUGGAUAGCCCCAGGGCCCUCGUCCUUGGCACAUAUGCACAUGAACAGACCAAACCUGCCAGGUGGGCUUGAGGUUGGAAGGAGCCACAGGGCUGUGUCUACACUGUCCAGUAUGGAAGCACCCAACCACCUGCCACCACGGAACACGUGAAAAGUGUCGAGGUGGCUGCCACAUUGCACCACACAGCUGGAGAAGGCUGAGAAGAGGGGGAUGGAGAGACCCUCCCCUCCAAGGGAGAGGUGCAAGGGGGGCCUCUCUGCCCUCCAGGGCUCAGUAUCAAUGGUGGGAGACUGCCUUCAUCCCCCAGAACACACUCCUGGGACAGCUGCAAAUAGGGAACCCCCAAAGCCCAGCAGCUGUGGGAGGUGAAGGGGCAGCUCGGUUACAGACCAGGCUGCAAAGCAUCUGUCUAAAAGGUCAGUGUCCACAAGAAGCACAUCAUCUGACCACCCAGCAGUUUCCCGGCACCAGCUCCAUGUCCAGCCCUGUGUUAGGUCCAGCUGAAUCAGCAACUUACUGGGGAAGUCAUGUCUCUAAGAAAGGAGCCCUCAGGCCUGCAGAGGCUCUGUUAGCCCCACUGCAGACAGCAGAACCCAGAAAACACUGGUGAGAGCAGCGGCCCCGGGAGAGGAUCCUGGAGGACAAUCAUCCUCACACCCUCGUAGAAGGCAGGCAGGUGUACCAGUCAGGGUCCGGGCAGAAAAGAGGACCAGGUGCAGAUCAUUCAUAGGAAGAGACGGCGAGGAAGAGGCCUUAACAAAGGGGAGGGCAGAUUCCAGAACAAACAUGAAACAUGGGGGAAGAGCGAGAAGCUGACUAGGGUCAAAGGGUCAGAGGAGGAGACAAGGCUGCAGAGGGAGCGGUCAGGGCUGUGGUCCCAGAGAAGCAGGGAUCAGGCAGUCAGGAGGUGGCCAGACCAACUGAGGAGCAGGAAACAGAUAAGGAAACCAAAGCUCAGAGAGGUUAAGUAACUGGCCCCACAUCACUCAGCUAGAAGGAAGUAAUAGAGCUGGAAUUUGAACCCAGGCUACAAGUUGGGGGUGUCCGCAUUGAUUUUUGAGUAGGUUUGAGUAGUAGCCUCUCUCUUUCCACCCAGGGGUCUCCUGCGGGGCUUCCCAUUGGCUGACGGGAAGAAGCGUGAGGCAGAGUAACCCUGGCAAUGAACUUGAGGGAUCCACUGAGGGCUUUCUACAAUUCCCACAAGAUGCUGUUGCCCUUCCCCAUCCAAGAGGAUGCCAGAGCCCAUGUGAUGACCUUGUUAUCGUUAAGAGGCUUGAAAAAGCAAAACAAGAUCGUCCUGUCUCUGGAUGCACCUUUGAUGCCUCCAUUCUAUCAGGCAAGCAAGGCCCUGGAAACAUCCUUUCUCUCCAGCAGAGGAGCCUGAUAGGUUGACAGGGAACCCUGGUCUCUGGACUCCCAGGCUUAAUCUGGGCCAACAGAGGAAGGGGUUUCCUGAGAAGUGAGACCCUCCAGAGCCCCUGUGGAAGGCUCCCAGCUUUGGGGGCAUUUUUGGUUUCUUAAUCUGCAUUUAGCUCCACCUCAGAGUGGGGCAUGGGGAACCUGAUUGGGAUUUAGAAGGUGACGAGGCAUUCUUACACUAAUUGUGCCCCUCGGGAUGCAUGGAAUACUAGGAGACACCAUGGCUUUUCACAUUCAGGUGCUCGUGUGAACAUCACCAACUGCCUCUAAACACAGGUAGCAGCAACAUGCAAUCUUUUGAUGGGAAGCAGUUAUUUCUUGAUCACUCGAGGGUUUUGAAGGCAGCCAGGCAGCUCAGGGGAAAAGCAGGUUCUACGAGAAGAGAGACAUGAUAUGCUCAGACAUUUCUGCAUCCUUGUCCUACACACAGUGUGAUCCACAGUGGUAAAGGUGAAGAAACUGAGAUUCACGAGUGUUUCAGAAAACUGCCUAAGAUGUUAGAACUAACAAGUCCUGAAGUUCAAACCCAAGUAUGACUGUCAACAUGAGGUUCUUUCUACAAACAGCAAUUCUGGAAGCUUCCAUUUACAGAGUGUUGCCCACAGAAGGGGCCUGGAAUACUGGUUGUUCAUGGAAUCUUCACUACUGCCCCAUGAAGUAGAGACAACGAUUAAGCCCAUUUUACCAAUGAGGAAAAUGGAAGCACAGAGAGACCUAAUAACCUUCCUAAGAUCACACAGUGAGACAGGACCCACAGUUGUUCUCUUUCCUCACCUCAUCACACUGCAGCCAUGACCAACCAAGAGGGCACAAUCGUCACUUAAGGCAUGAAGAAGCUCUGGUCAUAGGCUUGACUUGCAGGUGAGCCACCGAUCGGGGUUGCUCAAUGUGUCCUGAGCCCAAUUCAAGUCAGAUUGUGAAACCUUUGCUUCAACAGUCCCAGUGAUGGGAAGCUCAAUGGGAAGCGAGUCUCUCAGUCAGCUGCCAAUGAGUCUUUCCUUCCCUGAAUGCACAUAGUGGGUAUCAUAUUAAGAUGUGAGGGUUACAUUCUCUCCCCUUGAAUCUGGGCUGGCCCUGUGAUAUGAUGAGCAGAAUGUAGUAGAGGUGACACUCCAGAACUUCCAAGCCCAAAUCCAAGAUUAGCAGUUUCUCCUUCCUUCCCCUUGGGACACAAUCACAAGAGAAGCCUGGGCCCCAAGGAGAAGCCACAUGGAGGAGAACCAAGGUGUUCCAGUUGACAACUCUAAAAGACCUCCUGCCAACAGCCAGCACCAGCUGCCAGCAGGGGGAAUGAGCUGCUUUAGAUUGCCAGCCAGCAUGGAGACCCCAGGUGACUGCAGCCAGCGACAUCAUGAAGAGCAGCAGAACCAACCAGCUGAGCCCUGUCACCCCACAGAAUCACAAGAAUAACAAAACAGUCGGUGGCUUAAGUCAUUGAUCUCCUAGACAUUUUACUGUGCUGCUACCAAUAACUACCUUGUGAGGCAGCCUGUGUACCUGGAGACUGUUCCACCUUUAGGUGUUUUUUCCAUAAAGCUAAAUCCUCAUUCUUUCAUUUGUCUCCCUGGUUGGAGAUCUCCCUCAGGAACCACAUAGAACACAUGACAGAGAAUUAGAAAUGAAGGGGUAUGAGUUAUUAAAGACCAGCUUGUCCAUAUUGCUAACUAUACAGAUUAGUGAUUGAAGGCCAAACAGAUUCUGUGGCAUUCUCUGACCUCCCAUCCAGGUUGGGUACCCCACUCUGAGCUCCCACAAUCCCCUCUGCUUUUCCCACGAAAGCACUUACCACACCACACUACCUCCUAAUAACGUGGUAACAUCUCUUUCCAGGCAAGAGGCCAUAGGC